GCGGCGGACGGGUGAGUAAUGCUUAGGAAUCUGCCUAUUAGUGGGGGACAACAUUCCGAAAGGAAUGCUAAUACCGCAUACGCCCUACGGGGGAAAGCAGGGGAUCUUCGGACCUUGCGCUAAUAGAUGAGCCUAAGUCAGAUUAGCUAGUUGGUGGGGUAAAGGCCUACCAAGGCGACGAUCUGUAGCGGGUCUGAGAGGAUGAUCCGCCACACUGGGACUGAGACACGGCCCAGACUCCUACGGGAGGCAGCAGUGGGGAAUAUUGGACAAUGGGCGAAAGCCUGAUCCAGCCAUGCCGCGUGUGUGAAGAAGGCCUUUUGGUUGUAAAGCACUUUAAGCGAGGAGGAGGCUACUUGGAUUAAUACUCUAGGAUAGUGACGUUACUCGCAGAAUAAGCACCGGCUAACUCUGUGCCAGCAGCCGCGGUAAUACAGAGGGUGCGAGCGUUAAUCGGAUUUACUGGGCGUAAAGCGUGCGUAGGCGGCUUUUUAAGUCGGAUGUGAAAUCCCUGAGCUUAACUUAGGAAUUGCAUUCGAUACUGGGAAGCUAGAGUAUGGGAGAGGAUGGUAGAAUUCCAGGUGUAGCGGUGAAAUGCGUAGAGAUCUGGAGGAAUACCGAUGGCGAAGGCAGCCAUCUGGCCUAAUACUGACGCUGAGGUACGAAAGCAUGGGGAGCAAACAGGAUUAGAUACCCUGGUAGUCCAUGCCGUAAACGAUGUCUACUAGCCGUUGGGGCCUUUGAGGCUUUAGUGGCGCAGCUAACGCGAUAAGUAGACCGCCUGGGGAGUACGGUCGCAAGACUAAAACUCAAUGAAUUGACGGGGGCCCGCACAAGCGGU
rnacentral:rRNA from 1 species